CAGGAUUGACUUUUCACUAAAAAAUAAAUCACAGAUUCAGUAUAUGGCCAUACAAACCUUGUUGCAGACUGGAUCCAAGAAGAUCUUUGGGUCUGCUAGAAGCAACUCUUCUGCUUCUGUCCUUGAAGGAUUUUCUUAACUGCAGCUGCACAACUACCAAGGUAGAAGAAAAUGAACCAACAUGUUUCCUCAGACCCACAGCUACAAGCUCCUUAAAUUGAUCUUCACUUCAGCACAAGCUGCAGAAGCUUCACACUCAGCAGAGAAUUCCCAAUGAGGCCUUGGGAACAUUCAGUAUCUGUCUCCUACAAAUUAAUCCCUCUGGAGAUAAGUAUCCAACAUCUUAGAAGGAAUGAAAACCUUUUACUCCAUCAACUCUCUCCCACAAGGUGCAUCUUGCUACCACAUCCCUACAUCCAUGCUGCAGAGGAGCUCUCUCAAGACCUAAAACUCUACGGAGAACACCUGAAAUUUUGCUUGACUCUAACCUCAAGGUACAGGAAACUCACCUUUUAUAUCUCUGUUUUCCAGUGGUUUGUCUACAACCCCCUGGAGGUCCUUUGGCUAUUUCUAGGGAAGGCAUAUAGGAAAUAUACCUAACAAAAAUAAAUCUGUACUCACUAGCCUUAUAUUUGCAGCUC